rnacentral:rRNA from 1 species
AUACGGAGGAUCCGAGCGUUAUCCGGAUUUAUUGGGUUUAAAGGGUGCGCAGGCGGCCAUUUAAGUCAGCGGUUAAAUCGUGGGGCUCAACCCCAUUCUGCCGUUGAUACUGGGUGGCUUGAUUGCGGUCGAGGUUGGCGGAAUUCGUUGUGUAGCGGUGAAAUGCAUAGAUAUGACGAAGAACACCGAUUGCGUAGGCAGCUGACCAGACCGCAAAUGACGCUCAUGCACGAAAGUGCGGGGAUCGAACAGGAUUAGAUACCCUGGUAGUCCGCACAGUAAACGAUGAAUACUUGGUUUCGGCGAUAUAAUGUCGGAGGCAAAGCGAAAGCGAUAAGUAUUCCACCUGGGGAGUACGCCGGCAACGGUGAAACUCAAAUGAAUUGGCGGGG